GUUGGCCCGUCUUUUCUCACAAGCAAAACGUCGAACACCUUUCUCUUGAACCCAAUACGGGUUCUUGGAAUCGGUUAUUGGCCCUCAGUCAAGAAAUUCCUAGAAGCCAACAAGUAGUGGGUAAGGGCGAUCAAAGAAUUUAUUGGCAUUGCAUGAAGAUGUAACGGAGAGUGUAAAAUACUUGAAAACAUGGGAGUUUUUUCGCUGAAAAGAUCAAGGUAUGGUUGUAUUAAGGGUAGUGUGAUUUGUGAGAUGGUGCGGUGCAACUGAGGCCUGGAUUUGUAACAACCAGAAUUCGUAGGCCUAUGUAGAAAUAACACGAUAGGAAUUCUUGUAAGCCUAUGGUAUCUUGUAGAAAUGUCAGCCCAGCUUGUUUCAGUUAUGCAGCAUGGGUGUCUUGCUUGUAAA
rnacentral:lncRNA from 1 species